UACAGAGGUCCCAAGCGUUGUUCGGAAUUACUGGGCGUAAAGGGCUCGUAGGCGGCCAACUAAGUCAUACGUGAAAUCCCUCGGCUUAACCGGGGAACUGCGUCUGAUACUGGAUGGCUUGAGUUCGGGAGAGGGAUGCGGAAUUCCAGGUGUAGCGGUGAAAUGCGUAGAUAUCUGGAGGAACACCGGUGGCGAAGGCGGCACCCUGGACCGAUACUGACGCUGAGGAGCGAAAGCCAGGGGAGCAAACGGG
rnacentral:rRNA from 1 species